AGUGAACGCUGGCGGUAGGCCUAACACAUGCAAGUCGAACGGCAGCACAGUAAGCGCUUGCUCUUACGGGUGGCGAGUGGCGGACGGGUGAGGAAUACAUCGGAAUCUACUUUUUCGUGGGGGAUAACGACGGGAAACUUACGCUAAUACCGCCUACGACCUACGGGUGAAAGCAGGGGAUCUUCGGACCUUGCGCGUUUGAAUGAGCCGAUGUCGGUUUAGCUAGUUGGCGGGGUAAAGGACCGCCAAGGCGAGGAUCCGUAACUGGUGUGAGAGCGUGAUCAGGCACAGUGAGACUGAGACGCGGUCCUGACUCCUACAGGAGGCAGCAGUGGGGAAUAUAGGACGAUGGGCGCAAGCCUGAUCCAGCCGUACCGGGUGGGUGAAGAAGGCCUGCGGGUGGUAAAGCCCUUUUGUUGGGAAAGAAAAGCAGCGGGUUAAUACCCGGCUUUUCUGACGGUACCCAAAGAAUAAGCACCGGCUAACUUCGUG
rnacentral:rRNA from 1 species